rnacentral:rRNA from 1 species
GACAGAGGGUGCGAACGUUGUUCGGAAUUACUGGGCGUAAAGCGCAUGUAGGCGGCAGCGCAAGUCGGGCGUGAAAUCCCACGGCUCAACCGUGGAAGUGCACUCGAAACUGCGCAGCUAGAGUCCUGGAGAGGAAGGUGGAAUGCUUGGUGUAGAGGUGAAAUUCGUAGAUAUCAAGCGGAACACCGGUGGCGAAGGCGGCCUCUGGGACAGUGA